rnacentral:rRNA from 1 species
UACAGAGGUGGCAAGCGUUGUUCGGAAUUACUGGGCGUAAAGGGCGCGUAGGCGGCCUACUAAGUCAGACGUGAAAUCCCCCGGCUUAACCUGGGAACUGCGUCUGAUACUGGGAGGCUUGAGUAUGGGAGAGGGAUGUAGAAUUCCAGGUGUAGCGGUGAAAUGCGUAGAUAUCUGGAGGAAUACCGGUGGCGAAGGCGGCAUCCUGGACCAUAACUGACGCUGAGGCGCGAAAGCUAGGGGAGCAA